AUCCAGAUGAAGAGUCCUAAGUGGGACGAAACCCACGUCCUAGAU
rnacentral:hammerhead_ribozyme from 1 species